rnacentral:snoRNA from 1 species
ACUGAAUGAUAAUAUCCUACUAACUAAGCAGUCAGAAGUUGGUCCUUUGGUUGCAUAUGAUGCAUUAAUUAUUUCAAAGGCAGGAGGGCUGGGGAUGUAGCUCAGUGGC